AGUGUAGAGGUUCCUCAAAAGCAAAAGUUAGCAAUACCAUAUUACCAGCUCAACCAUGCCUGGGCGUCUAUCCAAAGGGCCCUGUGCCCUACCCUAGAGAUAGCCACACGGAUCUACACAUUGCUGCCCUAUUCACAAUGUUAGGAAUUGGAGUCAGCAUAGAUGUCCAUUGGGUGUGGAACAGACAAGGAAAACGUGGAACAUGAGCACAAUGUCAUUCUCUUUGUAACUAAAGGAAAGUGGGAUUUUAAAAUUUGCAGGAAGAUGAAUGGGAUCCGGAAAUAUAAUACCAGACUAGGGUGGCCCUCCGCCUUGGUCAGAGAAACCUUUUCAGAAGCAGAUGAUGGAUGAAGUACUGAGUAUGAAUGACUGCUGAGGACUUCGACCCAAAAGAAAGUUCCUUCUGGAAUCCAGGGAGCAUCACGGAAGAGAGGAUGGAAGUCAAAAGAUGAGAAGAACUUAGUCAGGAGAGGAAGGCUGGGGAGAUGGUUCAGUAGGUUCAGAUGGUUCAGUAGGUUCAUGCUUAUGUCUAAAGCAUGGGCCAUGAGCCAUGUAACGAGUGUAACAAGCCAGGCGUGGUGGUACACACUUACAGCCCUAGGCCUGGGGCAGGGUGAGGACAGGAGGAUCCUGGGUGCCUACUGACUGCCAGUCUAGCUCAUCAGUGAGCUUCAGCUCCAGUGUGUGACUCUACUUCAGCUCUCUCUUCUACAUACCCACAUGAUCCGCUUCCCCAGUGCAUCCUUUGAGCCUUUCGACUUUUCUUGAGGACAUUCCCCACUGUCCCAUGCUGUCUAAGUGCUGGUGCUGGCCAGCACUUGCUGAUUUUUCGUGGUAGGUCUCUUAAAUCAUCUGCUGUAACCGACCGCCUGCCACUCCUCUGCCUGGGAAUUUACAGUCUAGUUAAAGUCACAUCCAUGAAAGGGGAGGGAACGAAGUCUCUCUCUCUCCCUUCGAGCCCCCAAAUUGAUUUGGCACUGGAAGCCACUGUUAUAUUUUAUACUGAGUCUUCUGAAUCAGUUCAUUGAAUUUUAGCUGUAGCUAUAUAAAAUCCUCUCCAGCGAAGUUAUUUGGCCAUAUUGCGGAUGGCUCUGCCGUGAUCCAUCAAUGCCACUAACUAUCAGCAAUAAAGAAAAAUUCUUUUUCUCUU